UGACUGCACUACAAUUGAAAUGGCAAAUUUUUCACUUGCCCUGGGAUGAUUCAGAAUUGUAGGGGUUGUUUAUUUCAUACCCUUCAUCAUUAGAAAGGUAAUUUGUUUAAUCUAACUUAAAACUCCUUAAAAAAUUGAAAAGCAAUGAAAAAGGAAAGCCAGAGAUCACAACACACACCAACCACUAUGGGACGCAUUUCGUUAUUUGGUUAGAAUAACUCAUCGGCCAUAUUAGGUGAGGAGGCUUCAAGGGCCAUACAUUGGUAGGUCGUACUUAUGUUGAAUAUGCCGCAAAUUUUUGUUCUCACUUAAAAUGCUUGUAUGUCCCAUAGAUAAUUUACCGAGGAUUUUGUAUUCGUAAUUGAGGUGGUUCUCCAUAAUUGGAUGUCAUAAUUCCCAAUUGGUUUAACAAUGCAUUUUUGCCCAUGAACAUUCCACUAUGGAACAGGGGCAUACUUCUCACAUAUCAAUGAGUGCAGUCCGAUUCAAGUUUAAGCUCAAUGGUAAGAAGCUUCCUUUUUAUAGCCGAGUCCAAACGGCGUGCCGCAGUGCGACACCUCUGUGGAGGGAAGUUCUACAUGGCAUAGUACCUCACAAAUUUUGCCAGCAUUAGGAGGGGAAAACCACCGUUGAAAAUUGUUUCUGAUGGUCUCGCCAGGAUUCGAACCCAGGCGUUCAGCAUCAUAGGCAGACAUGCCCACCUCUGAGCUACGGUGGACUCCAAUGUUUUUUACAGGGACGCUACAAAGGUAGACCAAUAGUAACAGUAAUCGUCGUCAUAUUUUUUUGCUGCUCUUUUUACAUUUCUUCAGUAAAGUUUGCCAUUUCGUAAUGGUAAGAUAUACGAGUCAACAACGAGUCGAAAUUAUUGAAAUUUACUACCGAAAUUCGGAGUCAUUGGUCUCAUCGUUUUCAUCGAAAAAUCAUCUUCAGCGAUGAGGCUCAUUUCUGGCUGAAUGGCUUCGUCAAUAAGCAAAAUAUCCGUUAUUGUUCAGAUAGCAAUCCAUACGUACUCCAUGAGUCAUGAUUGCAUCCCGGACUUGGAGGACAUGUGGUUCCAAUAGGACGGCGCCUCAAGCAACACAGCGAUUGUCACAAUCAAUUUAUUGGAAACCAAGUUUGGAGAACGUGUUAUCUAACGAAAUCAUCUCCGCCUCUUUCGUGCGAUUUGACUACGGUCUACGCCAACAAGCCUGCGACGAUUGAUGAACAUGGUACUAAUAUUGAACACGAAAUUGCAGCAGUAUCGGCCGAUUUAUGCUUGAAAACCGUCGAAAAUAGGUUUCAGCGUCUGGACUUCUGCAAGCGUUCCAGUGGUAGCCAUGUAAAAGAAAUCCAGUUCCAUACAUAAUGGCAUCGAACGAACUUUUACAGAAAUAAAGAAUUUCAUUGCAAUCCACAA